rnacentral:rRNA from 1 species
AUUGAACGCUAGCGGCAGGCUUAAUACAUGCAAGUCGAGGGCAGCAUGAAGUAGCAAUACUUUGAUGGCGACCGGCAAACGGGGUGCGGAACACGUACACAACCUUCCUUUAAGUGGGGAAUAGCCCAGAGAAAUUUUGGGAUUAAUACCCCCGUAACACAACGAAGUGGCAUCACUUUGUUGUUAUAGUUUCGACGCUUAAUGAUGGGUGUGCGUAUGAUUAGAUAGUUGGCGAGGUAACGGCUCACCAAGUCUACGAUCAUUAGCUGAUGUGAGAGCAUGAUCAGCCACACGGGCACUGAGACACGGGGCCC